AUUGAACGCUGGCGGCAUGCUUUACACAUGCAAGUCGAACGGUAACAGGCCGCCAGGUGCUGACGAGUGGCGAACGGGUGAGUAAUGCAUCGGAACGUGCCCAGUCGUGGGGGAUAACUACUCGAAAGAGUAGCUAAUACCGCAUACGAUCUAUGGAUGAAAGCGGGGGACCGUAAGGCCUCGCGCGAUUGGAGCGGCCGAUGUCAGAUUAGGUAGUUGGUGGGGUAAGGGCUCACCAAGCCAACGAUCUGUAGCUGGUCUGAGAGGACGACCAGCCACACUGGGACUGAGACACGGCCCAGACUCCUACGGGAGGCAGCAGUGGGGAAUUUUGGACAAUGGGCGCAAGCCUGAUCCAGCAAUGCCGCGUGCAGGAAGAAGGCCUUCGGGUUGUAAACUGCUUUUGUACGGAACGAAACGGCUCUGGUUAAUACCCGGGGCUAAUGACGGUACCGUAAGAAUAAGCACCGGCUAACUACGUG
rnacentral:rRNA from 1 species